UUCCAUCGCGACCCCAGGUCAGGCGGGA
rnacentral:rRNA from 2 species